GUUGGGGGUCGCGGCAUUAAAAAGGUUGAGAACCACUGCCUUAGAGGGGAAAUCCUGUAGUUGCCUACCCCUGCCCUUGAUCAUAAGCUUUAUACUGUUUUAAUCUCAUUUUUAGAUUUAAUUAUAGGAAAGAAGAAUCUUGCAGUGUUUGCUCCUUCUGAACAGUUUCACUAGGAGUAGGCUUUCACAACAAGUAUUUGUUAGGCAGUGUUGGGCUUCAGCAUUUAGUCACUGUGGUCUAGAUCACAGAUUUCCUGACAUUUUGCUGUGGCUGGCAUCUUGAGAUGCAAGAUGACCAGCAGACCACAGGCAACAAAGCAGGAAAUGACUGGGCUGUUGCCUUUACAGGCAGGUGUCCUGACUUUUGAUUAACCAACUGCUCAACAGUUUCACUAGGAACUGGAAAAGACAUAUUUGAGCAACGCUUCAGAAACAAAUAUAGAUAACACAUUAUUUAAAUGUGAUUUAAUAAUUUUUUUUAUCCAGUUACCGGCAACUUUAAUGGCUAUUAUCUGUUUUUAAUAUGCUAUCCUAGUUUUGGCCAAGGCCAUCGGAGAGACUGUUACUGGAAGAACCAAGCUGGGAUUUUCAUCCCUCCAAGGAGUUUUCUAAAGUAAUUUUUUUUUUUAAAAAAGUAAAAGUGAUACAUCAAACUAUUGAAGAUAAACACACCUCUUUUAAUUGUUACCUCUCAUGCCUCCCCUGCAAACUUUCAUGGGUGUCAUUCAGUGGUUUACGGCUUGACUUAGCAGAGUAAUCUUAGAGGGCUCCAGGGCUUGGAGGAAAAAAAAAACAUGGAGACCACCUGUGAUCCACAGGUUUCCCACUGCUUCAGUCAUUAAAGUUCAGUACUGACUUUAUUUGAUGCUCUUCCAGUUACAGUAGAGGGAAAUAAUUGGAUUGACACAUUUGAAUUCUUUGGCCUGUUCUUAGAUAAAAAGAGAUCAUUCCAUAAUAAUUAGAGAACUGAAGAUUUUAUUACAGUACGUGAUAAAUAUCAUCCGUUCAGUGUGUUUCUCAAAUCUUUAUAUUCUUUAUAAAUGCUAUCUGCUUGCAGUAGAGCAAGAAUGGGCACAACAUGAAAAUAUGCUUAAUUAUAGUUGUUAACUGUUCUUGAACUGUUAAAUAAUUGUAUAAAAAUCUUGGAAUGAAACUUGAUUUUUAUGGAUGUCUAAUUUGUCAUGCUAUAUUGGAAAGCAAAUCUGAAAAAUAUAGAAAAUCUAUUUUUAGACUCAAAUUUUCAGAUGCAGAAGCAACAAUUACAGCACAAACUAUUGACAAAAGACAAAACAAGAAAUUAUAAUGUACUAUGUACAAACUUUUGAAACUAUAAAACAUGUUGGCUGUUCUCAUUUUGUAAAGCGAUAUUGUAGAAAAUAAUAUAUUAUUUUGAAUGUACAGCAGAAUAUUAUAUUGAAUGGUACAUAAUAUUAACACUACAAAUAAAUAUUUCUUUAUCCAGUAAA